AUGACAAACUCAGAGUUGCUGUGACCAUAUUUACUGGCAUGUGGACAGAGCCAAAGCUGAGAGAGAGGGAAACCUCCCAUCAUUUUCAUUCUUGGAUUCCGUCAUGCCAGGAACCAGCCUCUCAUCUUAGACUUCCACAAUCUUGGAACCAACAAAUUAUCUCUUGAGCUUACAUUCGUUUGAGUUGAGUUUUUGUUAGCUGGUUCUUUUAUUGCUUUCAAGAAUUUUGUCAUCUCAUGAGGAAAUAUAUAGUUGUAGUGGAAGGCAUCCUGUGAUAUGUGUACGGGAAGUACCUGCAGACAUCACUCAGGGACAGAGAACAAAGAUGACUCAAUCCCAGUGAAGACACUGAGGAAAACUGCAAUGAAGGAGGAGGUGGCACUGGGGUAUAUUAUUGUGGUGUCUGGAUGCACUUUUCAUCACUGUGUUUCUCAAACUUACUGCAAGGUGGCUACGCCAACUUUUUCUUCAAGUGGCAUCCCUACAAUGUGAUUUAUGGAGUUUCUUUAUUCAGGACAAAUAAGAUUCACAAUAAGGUGAUGAGGCAUUUCAACUCAUCUCUGAGAGGAUGUGAAGUUUUGCUACAAUACAGAGAUUAAUAAAAGCCAUUUUUGUACCACUGUUUAAGAGAAACUGGCUGAAUGGUG